AUGAGAGGUUACAUCUGUGGAACAGGAAUAGUUCUUUAACAGAAGUUUAAUGACUAGUGUCUGUGACUACUACAACCUGCUAACUGUCUAAAGAUGAAAUAUAUUAAGACCCAAGACAUUGGUGAGUGGCGCAGUGCUGGCUGGAUACUGAAACACACACAUGUUCCUAGAUAUGGAGUGGAAUACUCCACAGAAUGGAAAUAGUUUUAAAACAAUUUUGUUCUGAAUGUCAAAAUACAAGUAGCUUAGACUUUGUACAUUGUGAUUUAAACUGCUUUGAGACCCCAACUUCUAUAAUGUAUUAAAAUUCUAUGACUCUACCUGCUUAGUAGAAGUUGGAGGGAAAACUUACAAUUAUACUUUAUUAACAAGUCUGUGUAUUUUUCUCCAACUCUUCUAGCAUGUGAGACAGUGUAAUACAAAAUUAAAGUGCUGAAUGGCUAAAAUGUACCCCUCACCUUUUGAGGGGAGUGUAAAACUCUGAGCGUCCCAGAUCCAGAACUGUAAUUUUUCUCUGAGGUGGUUACCAUUGUUGUAAAAAGACAUUUUAAAACUUACUGCAUUCUUCUUCCUCCUGACAUCCUAGGUGUAACCAGUCUUAAGUGCUUCUGCACUAGUGUGACCAGCUAACAUCUUGCUAAAGUAACAAAGAAAAGCAUGAAAAUGCCUUUUGGGACUGAAAGUUUAGCAUUCUAGGUCACAGUGAAAAUGGAGCCGUUCGUGAGUAUUUAAACCUGGAGUGUUAAAACAGGUUAACUACUUACCAAGCAACAAUAACACUAAGCUUGAAACAUGUGCCAAGGCCUAAAAGGCAGAAGACCAAAAGCAGCUGGUAAGCUAAAGUGACUUCACAGAGCAGCUGCUAAGGGAGAAGAACUGCAAAAAGGAAGCAUUGGGCUCCUAGGAAGAGGUAGUAGGUUGCAUAGUUUUAGGGCAGGGAUUUUGCUCACAAGGAGGUAACUAUACAACCUGCUGCCUUUCUUAGGGCUUUAUUAUAACACCAGGACUGUUCUGGCUCCACCCUAACCUCUGCAGUUUUGGUACGUAAAGAGAAAUGACAGGCUAUUUCUAAGCGUAUGAAACCACUGUAUCAGCAAACUUGGUACCAAAUUCAAGUGUCAUACUGCUAGCUGGUAUGGGGAAAUGCUGCUUUUGGGGGUGCUCUUGCCAUUUUGGAGACACUGGGUUGUGAUAUCCGUGGGUUGUGAUAUUUGUGGGUUGUGGUAAGUAAGAGGCUGUGUUUGGAAGGCAACUUCUUCAAGAAUAAGAUUGAAUUCCCUGCGAUUAGGAUGGAGGUGGUAUGGUCUUUUAAACUGAACAUUAAGGUACUAAUAUUGUGUUCUUAAUCAGGUAGCUAAAACACGUCUUCCUUUGGCUUUGUGCAUUUCAAGUGGAAAACCGAAAGUUUUCCUUCCCCAGCAGGAUCAUUUUACAGCAUGCCUGAAUGCUGGUGGUUUCUCAGCAGGUACAGGCACUCCUAACAAAAGAGCUCUCGGUCAUGAAGUAUUUGCAGCCUCACAGAAUGGAAGUUUUCAGUCAAAAUGAGCAAUUGCAUAGUUUGUCUCAUAGAAUUAUAUGUUAAAAAGUAGUCCAUCACUACAGCAAUAGUUCUGGUAGGGCUUCAGCUGGACAC